rnacentral:rRNA from 1 species
UACGUAGGGUGCGAGCGUUGUCCGGAAUUAUUGGGCGUAAAGGGCUCGUAGGCGGUUUGUCGCGUCGGGAGUGAAAACCCGGGGCUUAACCCUGGGCUGGCUUCCGAUACGGGCAGACUAGAGGUAUGCAGGGGAGAACGGAAUUCCUGGUGUAGCGGUGAAAUGCGCAGAUAUCAGGAGGAACACCGGUGGCGAAGGCGGUUCUCUGGGCAUUACCUGACGCUGAGGAGCGAAAGUGUGGGGAGCGAACAGG